rnacentral:misc_RNA from 1 species
AGCAGCCGCGGUAAUUCCAGCUCCAAUAGCGUAUAUUAAAGUUGUUGCAGUUAAAAGCUCGUAGUUGAAUUUCGGGAUUGGCGCAUCGGUCGUGCCUCACGGGGUAUGAACUGGUGCAGUCAAUUUCUCACCUUCUGGAGAACCGCGAUGUCCUUAAUUGGAUGCCGCGGGGAACCAGGACCUUUACUUUAGAAAAAUUGAGUGUUUAAAGCAGGCAUUUUUGCUUGAAUACAUUAGCAUGGAAUAAUAAAAUAGGACGGCAUGGUUCUAUUUUGUUGGUUUCUAGGACCACCGUAAUGAUUAAUAGGGAUAGUUGGGGGCAUUAGUAUUCAAUUGUCAGAGGUGAAAUUCUUGGAUUUAUUGAAGACUAACUACUGCGAAAGCAUUUGCCAAGGAUGUUUUCAUUAAUCAAGAACGAAAGUUAGGGAUCGAAGACGAUCAGAUACCGUCGUAGUCUUAACCAUAAACUAUGCCGACUAGGAAUCAGACGAUGUUAAUUUUUAAUGUACUUCGUUUGGCU